AGAGUUUGAUCAUGGCUCAGAAUCAACGCUGGCGGCGUGCCUAACACAUGCAAGUCGAACGCGAAAGUGGAGCAAUCCAUGAGUAGAGUGGCAAACGGGUGAGUAACGCGUGGGCGACCUACCUUCGAGUGGGGGAUAGCCUUCCGAAAGGAGGGCUAAUACCGCAUGACAUCCUCUGUUUAGAUACAGGGACAUCAAAGCCGGGGAUCGUAAGACCUGGCGCUUGAAGAGGGGCCCGCGUCCGAUUAGCUAGUUGGUGAGGUAACGGCUCACCAAGGCUCCGAUCGGUAUCCGGCCUGAGAGGGCGGACGGACACACUGGAACUGAGACACGGUCCAGACUCCUACGGGAGGCAGCAGUGGGGAAUUGUUCGCAAUGGGCGCAAGCCUGACGACGCAACGCCGCGUGGAGGAUGAAGACCUUCGGGUCGUAAACUCCUUUCGACCGAGAUGAAUUCCUGCCGGCCUAAUAUGCCGGCGGGUUGACAGUAUCGAGGGAAGCAGCCCCGGCUAACUCCGUGCCAGCAGCCGCGGUAAUACGGGGGGGGCAAGCGUUGUUCGGAAUUACUGGGCGUAAAGGGUUCGUAGGUGGCUCGCUAAGUCAGACGUGAAAUCCCUCAGCUUAACUGAGGAACUGCGUCUGAGACUGGCGAGCUCGAGUGCAGGAGAGGAACGCGGAAUUCCAGGUGUAGCGGUGAAAUGCGUAGAUAUCUGGAGGAACACCGGUGGCGAAGGC
rnacentral:rRNA from 1 species